GACGAACGCUGGCGGCGUGCCUAACACAUGCAAGUCGAGCGAGGGAAACUCUUCGGAGUGGAACUAGCGGCGGACGGGUGAGUAACACGUGGGCAACCUGCCUCGUAGAGGGGAAUAGCCUUUCGAAAGGAAGAUUAAUACCCCAUAAGAUUGUAGUUCCGCAUGGAAUAGCAAUUAAAGGAGCAAUCCGCUACGAGAUGGGCCCGCGUCGCAUUAGCUAGUUGGUAAGGUAAUGGCUUACCAAGGCGACGAUGCGUAGCCGACCUGAGAGGGUGAUCGGCCACAUUGGGACUGAGACACGGCCCAGACUCCUACGGGAGGCAGCAGUGGGGAAUAUUGCACAAUGGGGGAAACCCUGAUGCAGCAACGCCGCGUGAGUGAUGACGGUCUUCGGAUUGUAAAGCUCUGUCUUCAGGGACGAUAAUGACGGUACCUGAGGAGGAAGCCACGGCUAACUACGUGCCAGCAGCCGCCGUAAAAC
rnacentral:rRNA from 1 species